rnacentral:rRNA from 1 species
GAUGAACGCUGGCGGCGUGCCUAAUACAUGCAAGUCGAGCGAACGGACGAGAAGUUUUCUUCUCUGAUGUUAGCGGUGGACGGGGGAGUAACACGUGGAUAACCUACCUUUAAGACUGGGAUAACUUCGGGAAACCGGUGCUAAUACCGGAUAAUAUUUUGAACCGCAUGGCUCAAAAGUGAAAGACGGUCUUGCUGUCUCUUAUAGAUGGAUCCGCGCUGCAUUAGCUAGUUGGUAAGGUAACGGCUUACCAAGGCAACGAUGCAUAGCCGACCUGAGAGGGUGAUCGGCCACACUGGACCUGAGACGCGGUCCAGACUCCUACGGGAGGCAGCAGUAGGGAAUCUUCCGCAAUGGGCGAAAGCCUGACGGAGCAACGCCGCGUGAGUGAUGAAGGUCUUCGGAUCGUAAAACUCUGUUAUUAGGGAAGAACAUAUGUGUAAGUAGCUGUGCACAUCUUGACGGUACCUAAUCAGAAAGCCACGGCUAACUACGUG